GAUGAACGCUGGCGGCGUGCCUAAUACAUGCCAGUCGAGCGAACAGACGAGGAGCUUGCUCCUCUGACGUUAGCGGCGGACGGGUGAGUAACACGUGGAUAACCUACCUAUAAGACUGGGAUAACUUCGGGAAACCGGAGCUAAUACCGGAUAAUAUAUUGAACCGCAUGGUUCAAUAGUGAAAGACGGUUUUGCUGUCACUUAUAGAUGGAUCCGCGCCGCGUUAGCUAGUUGGUAAGGUAACGGCUUACCAAGGCGACGAUGCGUAGCCGACCUGAGAGGGUGAUCGGCCACACUGGAACUGAGACACGGUCCAGACUCCUACGGGAGGCAGCAGUAGGGAAUCUUCCGCAAUGGGCGAAAGCCUGACGGAGCAACGCCGCGUGAGUGAUGAAGGUCUUCGGAUCGUAAAACUCUGUUAUUAGGGAAGAACAAAUGUGUAAGUAACUAUGCACGUCUUGACGGUACCUAAUCAGAAAGCCACGGCUAACUACGUG
rnacentral:rRNA from 1 species